AUACUUAACUCAGAAGGGGAGCUGCCAUAAUCACGAAGGUGGUUUUCCCAGGGCGAUUUCCCCAAAUGUGGGAAACUGGAUGCAUAAUUUGUGGUAGUGGGGGGCUGUGUCCGUGUUCUCCAC
rnacentral:snRNA from 10 species